rnacentral:rRNA from 1 species
ACGAUGUCAACUAGCUGUUGGGGGUUUGAAUCCUUGGUAGCGUAGCUAACGCGAGAAGUCGACCGCCUGGGGAGUACGGCCGCAAGGUUAAAACUCAAAGGAAUUGACGGGGACCCGCACAAGCGGUGGAUGAUGUGGAUUAAUUCGAUGCAACGCGAAAAACCUUACCUGGUCUUGACAUGUAACGAAUCCUUGAGAGAUUGAGGAGUGCCCGAAAGGGAGCGUUAACACAGGUGCUGCAUGGCUGUCGUCAGCUCGUGUCGUGAGAUGUUGGGUUAAGUCCCGCAACGAGCGCAACCCUUGCCAUUAGUUGCCAUCAUUAAGUUGGGCACUCUAAUGGGACUGCCGGUGACAAACCGGAGGAAGGUGGGGAUGACGUCAAGUCCUCAUGGCCCUUAUGACCAGGGCUUCACACGUCAUACAAUGGUCGGUACAGAGGGUCGCGAAGCCGCGAGGUGGAGCCAAUCUCAUAAAACCGAUCGUAGUCCGGAUCGCACUCUGCAACUCGAGUGCGUGAAGUCGGAAUCGCUAGUAAUCGCAGAUCAGCAUGCUGCGGUGAAUACGUUCCCGGGUCUUGUACACACCGCCCGUCACACCAUGGGAGUGAGUUUCACCAGAAGUGGGUAGGCUAACCGUAAGGAGGCCGCUUACCACGGUGGGAUUCAUGACUGGGGUGAAGUCGUAACAAGGUAGCCGUAGGGGAACCUGCGGCUGG